rnacentral:rRNA from 1 species
AUCGCCAACGUUUGUAUAGUUGAGUCGACCUCCUAAUUCUCUCAUCUUCCUCGUAUAACCCUAGAGGCUCUCCUCGCACUCCACGAAUCCUUGUUGCAGGCCCCUCCUCGCACGCUGGAUCUGUCGCGGCAGCUCCCGCCGGCCGCCUACUACUACUGCCUGCUUUUCGCGGCGGCGGCUGGGCUCAUCGGCGGCGUCGCGCACUAUAUGCUUCCUCGGAAGCGGGAGGUCGUCGCCAGCGAGGUCGAUAACUUGCAGAAGAAAACCCGCCCCGCUGCCGCCGACGACGCCAUGGCCAGGCCCACGGAGAUCGACGAGGACCUCCACAGCCGCCAGCUCGCCGUGUACGGCCGCGAGACCAUGAAGCGUCUCUUCGCCUCCAACGUCCUCGUCUCCGGGCUCCAGGGCCUCGGCGCCGAAAUCGCAAAGAACCUUGUGCUUGCGGGUGUCAAGUCUGUAACUUUGCAUGAUGAUGGUAAUGUGGAGCUAUGGGACUUGUCAAGCAACUUUUUCCUCUCAGAGAAGGAUGUUGGGCAAAACCGUGCUCAAGCUUGUGUUCUGAAGCUACAAGAUCUCAACAAUGCAGUUGUCAUCUCCACUCUAACUGGUGAUUUGACCAAGGAGCACCUUUCUAAGUUCCAGGCUGUAGUCUUUACUGAUAUCACCUUAGAAAAGGCAGUUGAGUUUGAUGAUUACUGCCACAACCAUCAGCCACCCAUUGCUUUCAUUAAGUCUGAAGUCCGUGGUCUUUUUGGCAGUGUCUUUUGUGAUUUUGGUCCUGAGUUUACUGUUUUGGAUGUCGAUGGAGAGGAACCACAUACAGGAAUUGUGGCAUCGAUCAGUAAUGACAACCCAGCGCUAGUCUCUUGUGUCGAUGAUGAGCGACUGGAGUUCCAGGAUGGUGACUUAGUUGUAUUCUCUGAAGUUCAUGGAAUGACUGAGCUGAAUGAUGGAAAGCCAAGAAAGGUUAAGAACGCCAGGCCUUACUCUUUCUUUCUGGAAGAAGACACUUCCUCAUUUGGCACAUACGUCAGAGGUGGGAUUGUCACACAGGUCAAGCCACCAAAGGUUCUUAAAUUUAAACCCUUGAAAGAGGCCAUGAAAGAACCAGGAGAAUUUCUUAUGAGUGAUUUCUCUAAGUUUGACCGCCCCCCUCUCUUGCAUUUGGCUUUCCAAGCUUUGGAUAAGUUCCGGAAUGAAUUGAGACGAUUCCCUGUCGCUGGUUCUACUGAUGACGUGCAAAGGCUGGUAGAUUUAGCUAUUAGCAUUAAUGAAUCUCUGGGUGAUGGGAAACUCGAAGAAAUUGACAAAAAGCUCCUGCAACAUUUCGCAAGUGGUUCCAGGGCUGUUCUGAAUCCUAUGGCUGCAAUGUUUGGUGGUAUUGUAGGUCAGGAGGUUGUGAAAGCAUGCUCGGGGAAAUUUCAUCCGCUUUAUCAGUUCUUCUAUUUCGAUUCUGUCGAGUCUCUCCCUGUUGAGCCUUUGGAGCCUGGUGAUUUGAAGCCAGAGAACACAAGAUAUGAUGCACAGAUCAGUGUGUUUGGAUCUAAGCUUCAAAACAAACUGGAGCAGGCAAAAAUCUUUAUGGUCGGCUCUGGGGCGCUCGGGUGUGAAUUUCUGAAGAACCUGGCACUGAUGGGCAUUUCUUGCAGCCAGAAUGGAAAGCUGACUGUGACAGAUGAUGAUGUUAUUGAAAAGAGCAAUCUCAGUCGCCAGUUCCUUUUCCGUGACUGGAACAUUGGGCAGCCCAAGUCGACUGUUGCUGCUACGGCUGCCAUGGCAAUUAACCCUAAGCUUCAUGUCGAGGCCCUUCAGAACAGGGCAAGCCCUGAGACCGAAAAUGUCUUUAAUGAUGCCUUUUGGGAAAACCUUGAUGCUGUUGUCAAUGCCCUUGACAAUGUGACUGCAAGAAUGUACAUAGACUCCCGAUGUGUAUAUUUCCAGAAGCCACUUCUAGAAUCUGGAACUCUUGGUGCUAAAUGCAAUACACAAAUGGUCAUACCUUACUUGACAGAGAACUAUGGGGCGUCCAGAGAUCCACCUGAAAAGCAGGCACCUAUGUGCACUGUACAUUCAUUUCCUCAUAAUAUUGAUCACUGCCUGACCUGGGCUAGGUCUGAAUUUGAGGGUUUACUUGAGAAGACUCCCACUGAAGUAAAUGGUUUCCUGUCAAAUCCUAGCGCAUAUGUAGCUGCAGCACGAACUGCUGGUGAUGCACAAGCUAGGGAUCAGCUUGAACGUGUUAUUGAAUGCCUUCAUGGAGACAAGUGUGAGACAUUCCAAGAUUGUAUUACCUGGGCCCGUCUUAAGUUUGAGGAUUAUUUCUCCAACCGUGUGAAGCAGCUGACGUAUACUUUCCCAGAAGACUCGAUGACUAGCUCUGGUGCUCCAUUCUGGUCUGCACCAAAGCGGUUUCCACGACCUCUUGAAUUCUCGUCGACGGAUCCAAGUCAGCUUAGCUUUAUUUUAGCUGCUUCGAUACUAAGGGCAGAGACAUUUGGAAUACCCAUACCUGACUGGGCCAAAACUCCAAACAAAGUGGCUGCUGAAGCUGUUGACAAGGUGAUUGUUCCUGAAUUCCAACCAAAACAGGGGGUUAAGAUAGUUACAGAUGAGAAGGCAACUAGUAUAUCGUCUGCAUCUGUUGAUGAUGCUGGUGUCAUUGAGGAGCUUAUCACGAAGCUAGAACAAAUUUCCAAAACACUGCCACCGGGGUUCCACAUGAACCCAAUACAGUUUGAGAAGGAUGAUGACACCAAUUUCCAUAUGGACGUGAUAGCUGGUUUUGCCAACAUGAGGGCGAGGAAUUACAGCAUUCCUGAAGUGGACAAACUGAAGGCUAAAUUCAUAGCCGGCAGGAUUAUCCCUGCCAUUGCCACAGCAACCGCAAUGGCCACUGGCCUUGUCUGUCUAGAGCUUUACAAAGUCCUUGCCGGCAGGCACAAGGUUGAAGACUACCGCAACACGUUUGCAAACCUGGCAAUCCCCCUCUUCUCCAUUGCCGAGCCGGUCCCACCCAAGACCAUCAAGCACAAGGACUUGUCCUGGACGGUCUGGGACCGGUGGACCGUAACAGGCAACAUCACGUUACGGGAGCUCCUGGAGUGGCUCAAGGAGAAGGGGUUGAACGCAUACAGCAUAUCGUGCGGCACGUCGCUCCUGUACAACUCCAUGUUCCCCAGGCACAAGGAGCGGUUGGACAGGAAGGUGGUCGACGUUGCCAGGGAGGUGGCCAAGAUGGAGGUGCCAUCGUAUCGGCGCCAUCUGGAUGUUGUGGUGGCCUGCGAGGAUGAUGAUGACAAUGACGUUGACAUCCCACUCGUAUCUGUCUACUUCCGUUGAAAGGAUUCCCUCUGAAUUGACAUCAUCUCGUGUCCCAUCUUUCCAGUGAGUUACUUUAUAUAGUUAUACUGUAAACUGAGCUGGGGUUUAAAGCAAUAUUACUGAUUUUCGUAUGCACCGACUUGUUAGAGCUCAGUUCAGAUCCUUUGGAAAAUGUGGUGUCGAGCUUGAUACCUCACCGUGAUAAUUGAUGCAUGGCACCGUUGAACUUGAAUGGCCUGUCUGUUUUCGCGUUUAGCUCGCGAAGAAGUGCAUCCGCAAUUACACAAGUUUGCUUGU